UUUGGCUCUGAGGGACUAUAUCUCCUCAAGAGAAGAGCUAUGGAAAUGUCUAUUGCUGCUUCUGACUCAUCUGAAGGUUAAUAAUGCUGAAGUUUUAGUGUCAUCUCAAUUAUGUUGGAAACUCUUUAAAGAAGAGACAAUGGCCUACGUUCCUGGUGAAUCUACCUUAGCAUUGAACAUAGCUCACACUACUCAGAGAAGGUACUUGGAGUUAGCUAGUUGGUUGCACAAGAGUUGCAUUACGUGGUGAUAAAUAAUGCUGACAGUGCAAGCAAGAGGAGCAGCAGCAACCAGUAAGAGCCACAUUGCUGAACUCACAUGGAUGUUAUUGAGAAGAAUUGUUUCCCUUUUCUGCUUCAAGAUGUGCUAGCUCCUGUUCUGGGUUCGGGAAU
rnacentral:lncRNA from 1 species